rfam:Prunus persica cultivar Lovell chromosome G1, whole genome shotgun sequence.
AAAUGUCAUUAUACCAACUUACAUGCACCAAAUCUCAUCAAAACUGCGAAGUUAAGCAAAUUUAUGCGAGAGUUGUACUAGAAUAGGUGACCCCAUGGGAAGUCUUCGUGUUGCAUCCC